rnacentral:rRNA from 1 species
GACGAACGCUGGCGGCGUGCUUAACACAUGCAAGUCGAGCGGUAAGGCCCUUUCGGGGGUACCCGAGCGGCGAACGGGUGCGUAACACGUGAGCAAUCUUCCCCUUUCUCUGGGAUAACCACUGGAAACGGUGGCUAAUACCGGAUAUGCCCUCCUUCUGCAUGGUUGGUGGUGGAAAAGUCCGCUGGACAGGGAUGAGCUCGCGGCCUAUCAGCUUGUUGGUGGGGUAAUGGCCUACCAAGGCGACGACGGGUAGCCGGCCUGAGAGGGUGACCGGCCACACUGGGACUGAGACACGGCCCAGACUCCUACGGGAGGCAGCAGUGGGGAAUAUUGGACAAUGGGCGAAAGCCUGAUCCAGCAACGCCGCGUGAGGGAUGACGGCCUUCGGGUUGUAAACCUCUUUCAGCAGGGACGAAGCGAAAGUGACGGUACCUGCAGAAGAAGGACCGGCCAACUACGUG